rnacentral:snRNA from 1 species
GUGCUUGCUUUGGCAGCACAUAUAUUAAAAUUGAGAUGAUACAGAGAAAAUUAGUAUGGACCCUAUGCAAAGAUGACACGCAAAUUUAUCAAGUGUUCUAUAGCAAA